UCUGAUUUGUUGUAUCCGCAUAUCAGUUUUUCGUACUGUCAGAGGGCUUUAGCCCAAUCAGGG
rnacentral:tRNA from 1 species